rnacentral:rRNA from 1 species
UACGGAGGGUCCAAGCGUUAUCCGGAAUCAUUGGGUUUAAAGGGUCCGUAGGCGGUUUUGUAAGUCAGUGGUGAAAGCCCAUCGCUCAACGGUGGAACGGCCAUUGAUACUGCAAGACUUGAAUUAUUAGGAAGUAACUAGAAUAUGUAGUGUAGCGGUGAAAUGCUUAGAUAUUACAUGGAAUACCAAUUGCGAAGGCAGGUUACUACUAAUUGAUUGACGCUGAUGGACGAAAGCGUGGGGAGCGAACAGGG